GGCGAACGGGUGAGUAAUGCAUCGGAACGUGCCCAGUAGUGGGGGAUAGCCCGGCGAAAGCCGGAUUAAUACCGCAUACGACCUACGGGUGAAAGCGGGGGACCGAAAGGCCUCGCGCUAUUGGAGCGGCCGAUGUCAAAUUAGGUAGUUGGUGGGGUAAAGGCCUACCAAGCCUACGAUCUGUAGCUGGUCUGAAAGGACGACCAGCCACACUGGGACUGAAACACGGCCCAAACUCCUACGGGAGGCAGCAGUGGGGAAUUUUGGACAAUGGGCGCAAGCCUGAUCCAGCCAUGCCGCGUGCGGGAAAAAGGCCUUCGGGUUGUAAACCGCUUUUGUCAGGGAAAAAAUCUUCUGGGUUAAUACCUCGGGAGGAUGACGGUACCUGAAGAAUAAGCACCGGCUAACUACGUGCCAGCAGCCGCGGUAAUACGUAGGGUGCAAGCGUUAAUCGGAAUUACUGGGCGUAAAGCGUGCGCAGGCGGUUAUGUAAAACAGAUGUGAAAUCCCCGGGCUUAACCUGGGAACUGCAUUUGUGACUGCAUAGCUUGAGUGCGGCAGAGGGGGAUGGAAUUCCGCGUGUAGCAGUGAAAUGCGUAUAUAUGCGGAGGAACACCGAUGGCGAAGGCAAUCCCCUGGGCCUGCACUGACGCUCAUGCACGAAAGCGUGGGGA
rnacentral:rRNA from 1 species